AAAUGGUCGAGUGGUCUAUGACGUGUGACUCGAAAUCACAUCCUGGAAACGGGGCGCAGGUUCAAAUCCUGCUUCU
rnacentral:ncRNA from 13 species